rnacentral:rRNA from 1 species
AACGAACGCUGGCGGCAGGCCUAACACAUGCAAGUCGAGCGCGCCUUCGGGCGAGCGGCGGACGGGUUAGUAACGCGUGGGAACGUGCCCAGAUCUACGGAAUAGCCACUGGAAACGGUGAGUAAUACCGUAUACGCCCUUCGGGGGAAAGAUUUAUCGGAUUUGGAUCGGCCCGCGUUAGAUUAGGUAGUUGGUGGGGUAACGGCCUACCAAGCCUACGAUCUAUAGCUGGUUUUAGAGGAUGAUCAGCAACACUGGGACUGAGACACGGCCCAGACUCCUACGGGAGGCAGCAGUGGGGAAUUUUCCGCAAUGGGCGAAAGCCUGACGGAGCAACGCCGCGUGAGGGAUGAAGGCCUCUGGGCUGUAAACCUCUUUUAUCAAGGAAGAAGAUCUGACGGUACUUGAUGAAUAAGCCACGGCUAAUUCCGUGCCAGCAGA